rnacentral:rRNA from 1 species
UCCGUAGGGUGCGAGCGUUGUCCGGAAUUAUUGGGCGUAAAGAGCUCGUAGGCGGUCUGUCGCGUCGGUCGUGAAAACUUGGGGCUUAACCCUGAGCUUGCGGUCGAUACGGGCAUGACUGGAGUUCGGCAGGGGAGACUGGAAUUCCUGGUGUAGCGGCGAAAUGCGCAGAUAUCAAGAGGAACACCGGUGGCGAAGGCGGGUCUCUGGGCCGAUACUGACGCUGAGGAGCGAAAGCGUGGGGAGCGAACAGG